rnacentral:rRNA from 1 species
GACGAACGCUGGCGGCGUGCUUAACACAUGCAAGUCGAACGGAAAGGCCUCUUUCGGGGGGUACUCGAGUGGCGAACGGGUGAGUAACACGUGAGUAACCUGCCCUUGACUUUGGGAUAACUUCAGGAAACUGGGGCUAAUACCGGAUAGGAGCUCCUGCUGCAUGGUGGGGGUUGGAAAGUUUCGGCGGUUGGGGAUGGACUCGCGGCUUAUCAGCUUGUUGGUGGGGUAGUGGCUUACCAAGGCUUUGACGGGUAGCCGGCCUAGAGGGUGACCGGCCACAUUGGGACUGAGAUACGGCCCAGACUCCUACGGGAGGCAGCAGUGGGGAAUAUUGCACAAUGGGUGGAAGCCUGAUGCAGCAACGCCGGGUGCGGGAUGACGGCCUUCGGGUUGUAAACCGCUUUCGCUCAUGACGAAGCUUUGUGUGACGGUAGUGGGUAAAGAAGCACCGGCUAACUACGUG